UAAGAUGCAAUCUUGUGUUAUAAGUAUUAGGCUAUCAUGAUUAUACAGUGAGCAAGCUAUAUAAAUAAGUAUUUAAUAUAAUAAAAGUGUAGAGCAACAACCGAGGGUGUAAGGUAAAGGCUGAAUAUUGUAGAUUUAUUACAAUAUGUUGCAUGUUUGAAUUAAAAUACCUGUGGAUAUGCAGGAGCACACACUCUACAAAGGCCUGACUGGAGAUUUGCCUGAUCUAUCCGUCCUUCAGGUGACAGCGGCUCACUUCAAGAGCAGGUGAAGCAAGUUGGGACAAUGUUGAAGACAUUUGCUCGCACUGGGCAAUCGGGUGCAGAUCAAACCCUAAUGCUGCAACGUCUUGGAGUUUGGCGAUGUUGUGCGUAGCAUGGACAACAAAAUGCUAUGCUGUAACAUUUCAGUGCCAAUGUGUCUGUUGGAGAGUUAUCCCUGCCAGGGGAUCUGUUAC